rnacentral:rRNA from 1 species
UACGUAGGGGGCAAGCGUUGUCCGGAUUUAUUGGGCGUAAAGCGUGCGCAGGCGGUUAUGUAAGACAGGUGUGAAAUCCCCGGGCUUAACCUGGGAACUGCAUUUGUGACUGCAUAGCUAGAGUACGGUAGAGGGGGAUGGAAUUCCGCGUGUAGCAGUGAAAUGCGUAGAUAUCUGGAGGAACACCGGUGGCGAAGGCGGCAUCCUGGACCAACACUGACGCUGAGUGAGCGAAAGCCAGGGGAGCAAACGGG